rnacentral:rRNA from 1 species
AAGUAUUAAAGGUCCCGCCUGCCCAGUGAAAACAUCUUCAACGGCCGCGGUAUUCUAACCGUGCAAAGGUAGCGUAAUCACUUGUCUUCUAAAUAAAGACUAGUAUGAACGGCUAAAUGAGGAUAAAUCUGUCUCUUACAACUAAUCAGUGAAACUGAUCUUCCAGUACAAAAGCUGGAAUUAAAACAUAAGACGAGAAGACCCCGUGGAGCUUAAAAUAAACAACUAACCAACACCAGCACUAGUGAACUAUUUUGAGUUGGGGCGACUUCGGAGUAAAACAAAACCUCCGAGAACAGAACCACCACUUCUAACUAAGGCCCACAAGCCUAAGUAAAAAUUGACCCGGCCUUACCGAUCAACGAACCAAGUUACCCCGGGGAUAACAGCGCUAUCUUCUUCAAGAGUCCCUAUCAACAAGAAGGUUUACGACCUCGAUGUUGGAUCAGGACACCCAAAUGGUGCAGCCGCUAUUAAAGGUUCGUUUGUUCAACGAUUAAUAGUCCUACGUGAUCUGAGUUCAGACCGGAG